GAAAUAAUGGAGCCCAAAUGGGGCUAAAUAAAAACCAUAAAAUUGAAAUCGAAAUCGAAAUCGAAACCGUGUGAAAUCCUGAAAUCCCCAAUCUCUCUUUCAGUUCAAAGGCAGCCGUGACUCGCGAGAGGCAAGACUUCUUCCCCAUCGUCAAAGCUGCAGCUCUCCCACGCCGGUCUCCUAGCCGCUAGCCUCUUGUAUGUAUUUCCCUCGAAGUCUGUAACUGUAGUUUCAUUUCUCCUCUUCUCCUACCCUUACCAUUUACCAAUAUGCCUGCACUUAUGUAGUUAUGUUCGACUUUCACAAGUUUCAUUUGAGUGGUCUAUCCUUUCCUGGAUUUGUUUGUCUUUUGCUGGAUUUCAUUUUGCCUGCAAUGGACUUAUGCACAAUAUGCCUUCACUUAUGAUCAAUGGACUGCCAUGCAAAUAAGCUAAUGUUUACUUGACUUCAACUGUUGCUUUGUUAAUGAGUCCAUAAACACUUUAGAUUUUUGUUUCUUCCCUGCCAUGAAAGUCCCUUCCAGUUCACACCAUAGUAAAGAACAAAUGCUAGGAUUUUGUUUUAUUAUUAUUAUUAUUAUUUUUUUUUUUCUGCUAUAAAAGAUCCAAUUGACUUUGUUCCUUUGUAUUUUUUAAUGACCUUUAGUAAGUCUACUGGUCAAACUUUUUCGCGUUGUAAAUCUCUUAUUUUCUUGGUCUGGCUAGCAUAACAUUUCCAAGUUGAUUAGCAGUAACUGAAUAAAAUUUUUCAGAUUCUAGUGGAAAAAGAAUGGAUUUUACUUGAAGUUUUUAUAUAGACUUUACUGGUAUGAAUUUCUCUGGCAUGGAUGUUACCAAGAUAGUUUUCAUUGUCUUUUCCAAUUUGGCGAGGGAUGCGUUGGCAAUUCAAGUUUCAACUAUUGCUUCAAAAAGUGCAUUUAGUACUGGAGGAAGGAUCAUUGAUCCUUUCCGUGAUCUUUAAGUCCUAAAAUGGUGGAGGUCUUGGUAUGCAUUCAAAAUUGGUUGAAAGCUUCACCGAACUUGGAUGGUUUCUACAUGGAAGAUGUUGAGCAUUACAACCAAUUGGAUGGAAGUUAUAUAUAUAUUGAUCAAGGGCCCAACGCUAAGUGAUUCAUUCAUUUUACAAGUUUCCAGGUAGACACAUUUAUCAGUCAAUAGUUUCAUAUAAAUAUAUGUUUCCAAUAGUUUCUGUACAAUUUAGAAUCAAGUUUUUAUGCUGAGUUUUUGGCCAACUUGCUGUUUUUAUUGCAAAUUAGUGCAUGAUUAUGACAUCCAAUAAUUCAAAUAUUAUUGAAUUGUUUCAUACAGACUUAUUGUUUUCUCAAAACAUGAAUCCUGUUGUCAAUCUGUUAUGGAGAUGGUCUUAUUUUUUUGGAAAUGUGACUUCCUAAUUUAUCUAUGCUAUGUUCCUAAUCUGACUAAUGCAUCAAUUUGAAAUGUUGAUAUGUUUUUAGUCUGUGGCCUAUCAAAUUCAUUAAUAGCAUAAAAAUGAAGUGUACCUGAAAUGAUCAGCAUAAUUUCUAAGUGGCCUUACAUAUUUCUUUGGAGGGAAUAGGCUAUGGUGGUCUGUUUGUAGAAUAUACUUCCCUGGAAUAUGGAUGUAAUACCUUAAUGCUUCCUUGUCUUUCACCAUUUUAUUUCAGGCAGACUUUUUCUUGACGUGUAUCUUAGCAAAUGGGCUAUCUGGAUUUUCUCUGGAGCUUCUUCAUCCUGGUCUGCUUAUCUGGAUUCUGGGAUAUGAUGAAGUCACGCAAAUAGAAGACCAAAUUGGAAGAAAUGUGAUGGUUAUUGGGAUGAUUAAUUUUGUAUUUACAUUUUAGGUUUGAUGAUUGGAAUUAUUUAGCAUUUUUAUUUCAGUAAUUUGUGUGGUUGACGUCUUGAUGGGUUUUUAUUGUCCAACUGGUGUUUAUGGUUUUUACUUUUUGUUGUCUAACAAAUUUUUUUUUUUUUUUGGUUCGAAGUCCAAACCGAC
rnacentral:lncRNA from 1 species